ACGGAGUAUGCGUUGUUCGGAAUCACUGGGCGUAAAGGGCGCGUAGGCGGCUUGAUAAGUCGGGGGUGAAAGCCUGUGGCUCAACCACAGAAUUGCCUUCGAUACUGUCUGGCUUGAGACCGGAAGAGGUAAGUGGAACUGCGAGUGUAGAGGUGAAAUUCGUAGAUAUUCGCAAGAACACCAGUGGCGAAGGCGGCUUACUGGUCCGGUUCUGACGCUGAGGCGCGAAAGCGUGGGGGAGCAAACAGGGAUUAGAUACCCCUGGUAGUCCACGCCGUAAACGAUGAAUGCCAGCCGAUU
rnacentral:rRNA from 1 species